GUGACGUAAGGUCACAAAGCCGCGUGGGCUGCGGGCGCCAACUUUGUUAAGGGCACGAAGUCCGACAGUGGCGCCGCCAGCUGGGCUCUACCUUGCAGGCUGGGGGCACGGCGCUGUGUGGAAAUGCUACAUUUGGCUCGCGAGACCUCGCCGCCAAAUAAAUUGAAGGCUAGACCCAAGAGCUACAUUUCAGGAUCUUGCCCACUACAGUCUUCUCUAUGGUUCAGCCUCCUUGCUCUGGACAUACAAUUACCACCACAUACGCGGGGACCCAGCUUGGGACCGCAAUGCAGUGGGGAAGCUUCUGCUUAACCAUCAGACAGUCCCAGGUUCAAUCCCUGGUAGCAUCGCCAGGUAGGGCUGAGAACAAGGAACCCUGUCUGAAACUCUGGAGAGCAGCUGCCAGUCAGUAUAGACAAUACUGAGCUAGAUGGAGGACAAAGCAAAGGGAACCAUUCAUGCUCACUACUACAAGACCAGCUCUUGUGACAGAUUGUAAGGGAGCUUACAGUUUGGGGAUGUUGAUGUUGAGUGUCAAGGGCAGUUCAUAGCCUUAUAUUGUUUAUCACAUUUAUUCAGGUUUUAUAGUGACUGCUACUGAAGUAACCACAGGUAUUUUAAGUCAUGAUGUUUUAAUUUAUUAUGGUCAAUGACCAGCAUUAAAUACACAUCACAUCACAUUAGUUUGUUUGUUUAUUGAAAUUACUGUUUGAUUUAUAUACCGCUUUUCAUUAAAAUAAUCUCAAAGCGGUUUACAAAAUAGUUACACAUCAAAUACAUUAAAAUUGGAUUUUAUUAAUUAAGGUGUUGUUUUUUCCCUCCUUUCAUCUUUUCCUUUGGAUUUUAUAUUAUGUUUUUGUAUUUAUUUGUUUUUAAUGUCUAUGUUAUACUGUGUUACGACCAGCACUUACAGCAAUAAAUUUAUUUAUUCGC